UGUAUUUUGUUUGACAUAUGUCAAAAUCACUGUAAAUUCAUUUAUAUUUUAUACUUAUGGGUUGAAAAAAUGUGCAAAAAUUCAAAUAAUCUUUCCAUUCGACUGGAGUGCAUCAUAUGGGCCAUCGCUGAAAUAGUACUCUGUGUCACCUGUAUAGGCUUUGUCUGUUGUGAGGGACGCUAUGGUGUUCUUCGUUCUAUCCUUUUAGGUGCCUUGAGCCUUGGAACUUUAGCUGGAUUUUGUCUACUAUUGGGCGCUGUUCUGAGAAAGCACCCCCUAGUACUGGUCUGGACCCUUCUGGCUUGUCCUGUGGUCUUCAUAGUUGUCGUCAUAAUCUGUCUCAUACUGCACAAAAGCUGGUACUACAUUACCGACUAUGAGAAGGCGCGGAAAAUAAUAGGGAUGAUCCUGGUCAUAAUUUGGACUUUGUAUAUGGUCUACCUAUCGUGGCUAUUGGUUCGCGAGCUCAAGACGGGAGAAAUGCAGAAGCGUUAUCCAGACUGUAUUGGAGGUCGUUAUCCCCGAGGGGCCCUCCGCGAAAGACAAAGGCCUAAUUAACAAAACAUGUGAGCCUUCAAAUUAGAAUAGCCAUACGGAACAUAUGACACUAGCCAUUCUAUCUUUCUUGCGGGCCUGGUCCUUUCAAUUAUAGCCGCUUUUUGCCUGAUUUUUGCGGCUGCCUUGAAUAUGGUUAUACCAGUGUGGGUGUGGCUUGUGAUUAUUCUACCUUCGACAUUGCUAGUGGUCAUUGGACAUUGUCUCAUAUUGCGAGGCUAUUGGGACUAUGAAACGGACCUUACGAAAGCGACGGAUGUGAUAUUUCUAAUCGUAUAUAUAUGUAUGGUCGUGGUCACUGUCUACAACUCACUUUUAUUCCUUGGAUCACUCAACAAGGAGGAUACGUAGACUCGGUAGGGUUGGAUAAAUAAAUUAUAUGUUUAUGGCGUCGAAUGAAAUAUGUAUGUAAAGCUAAAUAUAGGUAUCUAGUUUAACUAAA